rnacentral:rRNA from 1 species
AGAGUUUGAUCCUGGCUCAGGAUGAACGCUGGCGGCGUGCCUAAUACAUGCAAGUCGAGCGAACGGACGAGAAGCUUGCUUCUCUGAUGUUAGCGGCGGACGGGUGAGUAACACGUGGAUAACCUACCUAUAAGACUGGGAUAACUUCGGGAAACCGGAGCUAAUACCGGAUAAUAUUUUGAACCGCAUGGUUCAAAAGUGAAAGACGGUCUUGCUGUCACUUAUAGAUGGAUCCGCGCUGCAUUAGCUAGUUGGUAAGGUAACGGCUUACCAAGGCAACGAUGCAUAGCCGACCUGAGAGGGUGAUCGGCCACACUGGAACUGAGACACGGUCCAGACUCCUACGGGAGGCAGCAGUAGGGAAUCUUCCGCAAUGGGCGAAAGCCUGACGGAGCAACGCCGCGUGAGUGAUGACGGUCUUCGGAUCGUAAAACUCUGUUAUUAGGGAAGAACAUAUGUGUAAGUAACUGUGCACAUCUUGACGGUACCUAAUCAGAAAGCCACGGCUAACUACGUGCCAGCAGCCGCGGUAAUACGUAGGUGGCAAGCGUUAUCCGGAAUUAUUGGGCGUAAAGCGCGCGUAGGCGGUUUUUUAAGUCUGAUGUGAAAGCCCACGGCUCAACCGUGGAGGGUCAUUGGAAACUGGAAAACUUGAGUGCAGAAGAGGAAAGUGGAAUUCCAUGUGUAGCGGUGAAAUGCGCAGAGAUAUGGAGGAACACCAGUGGCGAAGGCGACUUUCUGGUCUGUAACUGACGCUGAUGUGCGAAAGCGUGGGGAUCAAACAGGAUUAGAUACCCUGGUAGUCCACGCCGUAAACGAUGAGUGCUAAGUGUUAGGGGGUUUCCGCCCCUUAGUGCUGCAGCUAACGCAUUAAGCACUCCGCCUGGGGAGUACGACCGCAAGGUUGAAACUCAAAGGAAUUGACGGGGACCCGCACAAGCGGUGGAGCAUGUGGUUUAAUUCGAAGCAACGCGAAGAACCUUACCAAAUCUUGACAUCCUUUGACAACUCUAGAGAUAGAGCCUUCCCCUUCGGGGGACAAAGUGACAGGUGGUGCAUGGUUGUCGUCAGCUCGUGUCGUGAGAUGUUGGGUUAAGUCCCGCAACGAGCGCAACCCUUAAGCUUAGUUGCCAUCAUUAAGUUGGGCACUCUAAGUUGACUGCCGGUGACAAACCGGAGGAAGGUGGGGAUGACGUCAAAUCAUCAUGCCCCUUAUGAUUUGGGCUACACACGUGCUACAAUGGACAAUACAAAGGGCAGCGAAACCGCGAGGUCAAGCAAAUCCCAUAAAGUUGUUCUCAGUUCGGAUUGUAGUCUGCAACUCGACUACAUGAAGCUGGAAUCGCUAGUAAUCGUAGAUCAGCAUGCUACGGUGAAUACGUUCCCGGGUCUUGUACACACCGCCCGUCACACCACGAGAGUUUGUAACACCCGAAGCCGGUGGAGUAACCUUUUAGGAGCUAGCCGUCGAAGGUGGGACAAAUGAUUGGGGUGAAGUCGUAACAAGGUAGCCGUAUCGGAAGGUGCGGCUGGAUCACCU